rnacentral:tRNA from 1 species
GGAGGGGUGCGCCGAAUGGCUAAGGCACCGGUCUCGAAAACCGGGGCCCCUCGCGGGCUUGUGGGUUCGAGUCCCACCCCCUCCGCCG